UACGGGGGGGGCAAGCGUUGUUCGGAAUUACUGGGCGUAAAGGGCUCGUAGGCGGCCAACUAAGUCGGAUGUGAAAUCCCCAGGCUUAACCUGGGAACUGCAUCCGAUACUGGAUGGCUUGAAUCCGGGAGAGGGAUGCAGAAUUCCAGGUGUAGCGGUGAAAUGCGUAGAUAUCUGGAGGAGCACCGGUGGCGAAGGCAGGUCACUGGGCCGCAACUGACGCUGAGGAGCGAAAGCAUGGGGAGCGAACAGG
rnacentral:rRNA from 1 species